rnacentral:tRNA from 1 species
GGUACUGUAGCCAAGUGGUUACGGCGUCACGUUUAGGUCAUGUACUAAUCCGUGAUGGGAAACCUCGCGAGUUCGAAUCUCGUCAGUGCCA